AACACGCAGGAGAUCCGUCCUCCACCUGCUGGCAUCAUCCUCCGCGAUGCAGGAUUAGGCUCUCGCCCAAUCGCCUGAGAACUGCAGGUGCUCACUGAUGGGAUCUUCCCUGUAGGCUCGCAUGAAUGCCGGCUAUGAAAUCAUUUAUCUCCACUUCUCCAGGCCACAACUGCACGCCCGGUCAGGCUAUGUGUAAUUGUCCGAAUUCUUGGAUCUACAUGCCGUUGCUGAAUCCAGCUUUCUCGUCAGUAUCGUUCUCCCCUUCAACAUUGUCCUUGUUAACGUACAGAGGUGCAAGGGGCUCAGUGGGUUGGACAUGGCAUUGUGGCUUUGUCUGGUCGUGCACACCAUUAACUUGGUGCGGGACAUGAUCCAAUCAAACCAGAUGCAGGCAGCAGGAAUAAUCCGGUGGAUCUGGUCAGCCAGGAUUUUCUUUGGAAAUAACAAGUUUGAUUCAUUAGGAUUCCUUUUAGCCUUCUGAACUUUUUUUGUCAGGUUAUCUUGGAGGGCGGCUUCUCGGGGUCCGGUCCCUGCCCCUGUCUGCGCGCUGGACGGUGUCUCCUCCAGAUUUCUCACUACCAGACUGCUAACUUCCUAUGCACAACUGUUUUCUCUUCACAUCUUGGCAAAUUAUUUUCUGAAGGUUAUGUGAUUAGAUUGUUGGAUCUGCCACCAUAGCAUUACUACCAUCGCAUACUGAAAUGUCCUCAAGACACUCAACGUAUACAUGUCUGAAUAUAUGCAGCGAGCAAGUAUUCCACUCGUGUGGCUAUAGUGUGUUGCAUCAAUCACCAUAAUGGAUUCUUAGUUUAGAGGAAGAUUGCAUAAAACUGACAGAAGUAAACAACAGAGGAACAUUUUCCAUUGGAUUUGCUUUCUGCACAUGCUCACUUUCCGAUACAUUUGUUUUUCAUAGGUACACUAAAGAGGUAGAGAUUAAUCCGCUGAUUAGGUAGCAAGAGGACUGAAGAUGUUGUGAUCUGUUCUGGCAUGGUGGCAUAUUUAGUUCUAUACUUAAGAAAUAUGCGCUGUUCACCCCAUUUUGCAUGGCUCGGUCUAUCCCAUUUUCUUUGGUGUACAAUUUAUUUAGAGAUGUAAGGAAAUCACUCAUUCACCAAGAAAUCAGAUCUAUUUUAUGCUAUCAGGGGUAAGAACUUAACUAUAUCCUAAGUUCAGUAAUAUGCAUAUAAUUGCUCUGUUAGUCACACACAUAUAUAAAAUUAUUGUUUGUGAUUUUAGGUAAGAAAUUGAUGUCUGGUUAUCGCGUGCAUAUGUAUACUGACUACACUUGCUGCCCACUGUGGAUGAGCUUUGUCAUCCUGUGCAUGGCAGGUUAGAGCUCCAUUGUGAAUUAUCCGCACGGAGAGGCCGGUGCAUGCGUUGAUGACCACAACCUUUGGAGGUGACGCGGGUGGUGGCCUCUGUGCUGGCAAGCUCCCGCAAUGCUCUACAGAAGCCUUGAUGUCGAGCUCCACGGGAAGACAUUUUCCAGUGGUGUUUGUGAUUGAGUUAUUCCUCUAUAUACUUGGUGCAAAGGAGAAGUGGUACCAGUCACCUAAGGAUUACCUGUGUUUGAGAAUGGGCUUCGAGGCGGAUGGAGCUAUGCGAAUUGGGAUUACCUCUAAAUAUUCAUAUUGGUUGGCAUGUUCAAAUGGAGCAUGGUUUACCACGCCUAACAAGGUACAUAGGAACAUGAGACAUAGAUUGACACAUGACACUGGAUAUGGUGUGAAGACAUUGAUAUUUUUACUUCCUUGGAAUUGUUUGUAACCUGGGAGCUGGGAAGGCGACUGAAGGCGACAGGAGAAUUGCUUGAAGAAAUACGUGUAUGCACCUGAUUGAAACGUCUACGGUUUACCUUCCCUUUCACUUCUUGAUUUAUCUUGGAUUUGUCAAAGUUUUUCUGUACAAUCAAAACGUCUACGGUUUACCUUCCCUUUCACAAAGCCAAGAUGAGUAUUUUCUUUACCUCUUAUAGUAACUUCUUGUACAUUCUCCAGAUUGGUCUUGUAGACAGUUUACAUGUUUGAAAAACUUGCAGUGUUCUGGUAUUGGAGUAUCACGCUGGCAGUGUUCUCUUGAUGGUUGGACUAGAUUACUUCUUAGAAAAACUUGCAUGUGACCACAAAUC